GGGGGGGGGUGCGAGCGUUAUUCGGAAUCAUUGGGCGUAAAGGGCGCGUAGGCGGUCUCUUAAGUCAGGGUGUGAAAGCCUUCCGCUUAACGGAAGAAGUGCACUUGAAACUAAGGGACUUGAGUAUGGGAGAGGGAAGUGGAAUUCCUGGUGUAGCGGUGAAAUGCGUAGAUAUCAGGAGGAACACCGGUGGCGAAGGCGACUUCCUGGACCAAUACUGACGCUGAGGCGCGAAGGCGUGGGGAGCAAACAGGAUUAGAUACCCUGGUAGUCCACGCAGUAAACGGUGAACACUAGGUGUAGUGGGUAUUGACCCCUGCUGUGCCGCAGUUAACGCAUUAAGUGUUCCGCCUGGGGAGUACGGCCGCAAGGUUA
rnacentral:rRNA from 1 species